GCCUUCUUAGCUCAAGUGGUAGAGCAUUGCAUUUGUAUACACCCUUUCUGUUAACAAUGGCAAAUGUCAGUCGUUCAAUCCGGCUAGGCA